rnacentral:rRNA from 1 species
UACAGAGGGGGCGAGCGUUGUUCGGAAUUACUGGGCGUAAAGGGCGCGUAGGCGGCCAACUAAGUCGGACGUGAAAUCCCCUGGCUCAACCAGGGAACUGCGUCCGAUACUGAUUGGCUUGAAUCCGGGAGAGGGAUGUGGAAUUCCAGGUGUAGCGGUGAAAUGCGUAGAUAUCUGGAGGAACACCGGUGGCGAAGGCGACAUCCUGGACCGGUAUUGACGCUGAGGCGCGAAAGCCAGGGGAGCAAACGGG